CCUACGGGCGGCAGCAGUGGGGAAUAUUGCACAAUGGGGGAAACCCUGAUGCAGCGACGCCGCGUGCGUGAAGAAGUAAUUCGUUAUGUAAAGCUCUAUCUGCAGGGAAGAAAAUGACGGUACCUGAGUUAGACUCCCCGGCUAAAUACGUUCCAGCAGCCGCGGGAAUACGUAGGGGGCAAGCGUUAUCCGGAUUUACUGGGUGGAAAGGGGGCGUAGACGGCAGUGCAAGUCUGGAGUGAAAGGCGUGGGCUCAACCCGCGGACUGCUCUGGAAACUGUACGGCUGGAGUGCAGGAGAGGUAAGUGGAAUGUCUAGUGUAGCGGUGAAAUGCGUAGAGAGUAGAAAGAACACCAGUGGCGAAGGCGGCUUACUGGACUGUAACUGACGUUGAGGCUCGAAAGCGUGGGGAGCAAACAGGAUUAGAUACCCCAGUAGUC
rnacentral:rRNA from 1 species